AAGCUGGCCGCAACCUAUACUUUCCCAUUUUUUCCACUAUUUUAAUAAACAAGCUUGGCCCGUGAUUUCAUUAAUGUAGUUGGAUAUGGAAUAACCUGAAUAGAUUUGGCAACAACAAAUUUAUUGUUUACUCCUGUUUAUUCUGAGGGAGCUUGUUUUGCCGAAACGAGACAUGAAUAUUUACCAGCAGAUGAACGCGUUAAGAGCCAUCGAAAUGAGACAAUAUGGGAUGUCAGAAGAAAAUAUUGGAAUUAGAUAAAUAUAUUGAACACGGUAAAAGGCUGGUUUGAUCUGAGGCUGCUACACUCUGAACUUAUCACGAACAAGCAGACAGACAAAUGCGGCAGAGGACGUUUUUUUAUAAUAUGUAAGGAUAAGCAUGGCGCACUGAUGC